rnacentral:misc_RNA from 1 species
AACCGGGCACACAUAGAACCCGCCACUCUCAUCCACCGCAUCGUACACAAUCCCAGCCUUCUUCACAUUCUUCUUCUCAAUCUCCACCAACCCAUCCUGCGCCAACAGAUACUCAAACACCAACCCGCAAAUAUAAAUCCCCAAGCAAUUCGGUGUAUUGUACAACGAAUCCGCAUCAGCAUGAAUCUUGUAAUCCAACAUGUCCGGAGUAAUCGGCUGCGCAUUGCCCAACAGAUCUUUCCUCACAAUCACAAUUGUAACCCCUG